rnacentral:sRNA from 1 species
CAGAACAGUAGGGCUGCGGGUGCUCCGCGA